rnacentral:rRNA from 1 species
AUUGAACGCUGGCGGCAGGCCUAACACAUGCAAGUCGAGCGAGCGGCGGACGGGUGAGUAAUGUAUGGGGACUGCCCGAUAGAGGGGGAUAACUACUGGAAACGGUAGCUAAUACCGCAUACUAUCGGAUAACCCAUAUGGGAUUAGAUGGUAGGUGAGGUAAUGGAUCACCUAGGCGACGAUCCCUAGCUGGGUUCAGAGUAUGAUCAGCCACACUGGGACUGAGACACGGCCAAGACUCCGACGGAGGCAGCAGUGGGGAAGAUGGCACAAUGGGCGCAAUCCUGAUGCAGCCAUGCCGCGUGUAUGAAGAAGGCCCUAGGGUUGUAAAGUACUUCCAGUCGGGAGGCGUUACCGACAGAAGAAGCACCGGCUAACUCCGUGCCAGCAGCCGCGGUAAUAC